AAAGACAUCAAUAUUUUUCUCUCGUGUGCUCCGCCCCUCUCCAUAGUUCGACAGAUGGCGUCGAAGAGAAGGAGAUGGAGACAACUAUGUUAUUAAUUGAAGAAGUGAUACACAAAAACCAAGUGAACUCUACGUUUUUUGUUCCACCUGGCCAGCCUCAUUUGUAAAUAGGGGGACGAGAAUUAGACCCCGAGGUCAUCUCACAAUACUGUAUGACGGCUAGGCUUCCGGAGCAGGUGCGACAUAUGGAUCGAAACACAUUUGGGCGGCUGUGUCGUUUGCUAAGGGAUAUGAGUGGGUUAGCUGAUGGUAAAUUUGUAACUGUAGAGGAGCAGGUUGCUAUGUACUUGGGCAUAUUAUCGCAUCACAAAAAUAAAAUAGGAUUGUAGGUUCAAUUUUCUUAGGUUAGGGCAGACUGUGUCGCGCUACAUCCUUGAAGUGUUGUGAGGCGUGUUAAGCCUCCAUGAGACUAAGGUCAAGCCAUGCACAGAUCCGAGGUGGAUGUGGUUUAAGGAAUGUCUUGGGGCUCUUGAUGGUACUCAUAUUAAUGUCCGCGUGAGUAUCAUAGACACGCCAAGGUACAAAACACGAAAGGGUCACAUUGCCACAACAAACACAUUAGAUGUUUGUGAAGUUAUUUGAGGUUUGUCUACGUUCUCCCCGGAUGGGAAGGUUCUGCUGGGAUUCUCGUGUUCUUUGUGACGCCGUCACUCGUGAGGAUGGUUUAAAAGUGGCCAAAGGUGACAUCAUCCAACUUUAGUUUUGUAUGAGACAUGGCUUUAUUAUAUAAACUGAAUUAUCUUCUUUGUCUAAUUUCUGUAUCUAAAUUGGGAUAUUACUUGUGCGACAACGGGUAUGAAAACAGCGAGGGUUUUUUUUUACUCCGUUCAAGGGAAUUCGCUAUCAUUUGAAGGAAUGGGGUGCUAGUAGUCAACGGCCUCAAAACGCCGAGGAGAUUUUCAACAUGAGGCACGCAACGGCUCGCAAUGUCAUCGAGCGUGCAUUUGUUGUACUCGAGAUGAGAUGGGGGAUCCUUCGAAGUGCCAGCUUCCAUCCCACUGAGACACAAGAUCGUCUAAUAAUGACUUGUUUUAUCCUUCACAACUUUAUUCUUAGUGACAUGGCAAUUGAUCCCGUGGAGCAAGAACUGAACGAGGCCAACGAUGGGGCUAACUACGUUUCGGCUAAGUUGGAAGAAACACAAUAUAUCAAUGCAGUUGAGUCCACAUCAUUAUGGAAUCUAACAAGAGUUGAUAUUGCCCAACAAAUGUGGAGGAACAUGUAGCCUUGGAAGAUUCUCGUUUUUUUACCUAGUUUCAUUAAGUUGGAUGUUGAAUUGUUUGAUCUUAUGUAGGAUUUCAAUUAUUUUUUAUCUAUGAACUGAUCUUCUUUAGGAUUUCAGUUAUGUUUUAUCUACACUGAUCUUAUGUAUC